CCCUUAGAUGUUCUGGGCCGCACGCGCGCUACACUGACGCAUUCAACGAGUCUAAAACCUGGUCUGAUAGGGCUGGGUAAUCUUUUGAAUGUGCGUCGUGAUUGGGAUAAAUGAUUGUAAUUCUUCAUUUUCAACGAGGAAUGCCUAGUAAACGCAAGUCAUCAGCUUGCAUUGAUUACGUCCCUGCCCUUUGUACACACCGCCCGUCGCUGCCCGGAACUGAGCCGUUUCGAGAAGACUGAGGAUUGCUGACUUGAGGCCUUCACGGGCUUCUAGUCGGUGAAAAUCAAUUUAAUCGCAGCGGCUUGAACCGGGCAAAAGUCGUAACA
rnacentral:rRNA from 1 species